GGGUCUGUCACACUCCCGCCUCUGACCAGAUCUCAGCCGCCAGGCUCUCCCGCCCCCUGCCGGGCCAGCAGGCUUUCUGAGGAUGAGGGUGAGAGACCUUCGCCUCCGGGGGCGAUGCGUGCGAGGAAUCCUCACGUCUCUCUUCCUCCUGGGCUGCUGGGGGCUCUCCCGUUUUCCGCAGCUAUUUCUUCAGGCUUUGGAGCCGGAGGAAGUGACUGCUUACCUUGGCCCUGCUGCCGCCUUGGAAGGACCCUCGCUGUCAGCCCCGCCACCCACCUCGCCAGGCCGCCCUCCUGCCCGGCGCCUCUGGAGACGGGCUGCUGGGAGCGUCCUGCACCUGGAGCUGCUGGUGGCUGUGGGUCCCGAUGUCCAGCAGGCUCACCAGGAGGACACGGAGCGCUACGUGCUCACCAACCUCAACAUGGGGUCAGAGCUGCUGAGGGACCCGUCCCUGGGGGCUCAGUUCCGCGUGCACCUGGUGAAGAUGGUUAUUCUGACACAGCCUCAGGAUGCUCCGAAUAUCACAGCCAACAUCACCGCAUCCCUGCGGAGCGUCUGUGAGUGGAGCAGGACGGUCAAUCCCGAGGAUGACGCAGAUCCCAGCCACGCCGACCUCGUCCUUUACAUCACCAGGUUUGACCUGGAAUUGCCCGAUGGUAACCGGCAGGUUCGGGGGGUCACCCAGCUGGGGGGUGCCUGCUCCUCCUCUUGGAGCUGCCUUAUCACAGAGGAUACUGGCUUCGACCUGGGGGUCACCAUCGCCCACGAAAUUGGGCACAGCUUCGGCCUGGAGCACGACGGUGCGCCCGGCAGCGACUGCGAGGCCAGCGGCCACGUGAUGGCGUGACAUGUGCCAGGCUCUCUCCUGUCACACAGACCCCCUGGACCAGAGCAGCUGUAGCCGCCUCCUCAUUCCUCUCCUGGAUGGGACAGAGUGUGGCGUGGGGAAGUGGUGCUCCAAGGGUCACUGCCGCUCCCUGGCGGAGCUGGCCCCCGUGGGGGCAGUGCACGGGGGCUGGUCUAGCUGGGGGCCCGCCAGUCCUUGCUCCCGCUCCUGCGGAGGAGGCGUGGUCACCAGGAGGCGCCAGUGCAACAACCCCAGACCUGCCUUUGGGGGGCGCUCGUGCGUAGGUGCUGACCUCCAGGCUGAGAUGUGCAACACCCAGCAGUGCGCACAGACCGACGGGGAGCCCCUGCGCCUCUCCCCGGGCAGCACCUCCUUCUAUCACUGGGGCGCCGCCGCGCAGUACAGCCAAGGGGACACUCUGUGCAGACACAUGUGCUGGGCGGUUGGCGAGAGCUUCAUUGUGCGGCGUGGGGACAGGUUCCUGGACGGGACUCGGUGUGUGCCCGGCGGCCCCCGACAGGACGGGACCCUGAGCCUGUGCGUGUCAGGCAGCUGCAGGGAUCUCACCUGCCACUCUCCUUGGCACAGACGUUCGGCUGUGACGGCAGGAUGGAUUCCGGGCAGGUGCCAGACAUGUGCCAGGUGUGCGGCGGGGACAACAGCACGUGCAGGCCACAGAACGGCUCUUUCACGGCUGGAAGGGCCAGAGAGUAUGUCACCUUCCUGACUGUCACCCCCAACCUGACCAACAUCCAUGUCAUCAACCACAGGCCUCUCUUCACACACCUGGCCGUGCGGAUCCGCGGGCGCUACGUCGUGGCUGGAAAUGCCAGCAUCUCUCCCAGCAUCACCUACCCCUCCCUCCUGGAGGACAGCCGUGUCGAGUACAGAGUGGCCCUGACUGAGGAUCGGCUGCCCCACCGGGAGGAGCUCCGCAUCCGGGGACCCACCCAGGAGGACCUGGAGAUCCAGGUUUACAGGCGCUACGGCCAGGAGUACGGCCGCCUCGCCCGCCCAGACAUCACCUUCACCUACUUCCAGCCUGAGCAGCAGCAGGCCUGGGCGUGGGCUCCUGUGCGGGGGGCCUGCUCGGUGAGCUGUGGGGCAGGGCUGCGUCAGGUGACCUACAGCUGUUGGGACCAGGCCAGGAAUGCAUGGGUGGAGGCUGCCCUGUGUGCAGGGAGCCGGCGGCCGGCGGCGUGGUCCGAGUCCUGCACCCCUGCUCCCUGCCCCCCGUUCUGGGCAGUUGGAGACUUCGGCCCGUGCAGCGCUUCCUGCGGGGGAGGCCUGCAGGAGCGGGCGGUGCGCUGUGUGGAGGCCCAGGGUGGCCUCCUAAGGACGUUGCCCCGCUCGCGGUGCAGAGCGCUGGCCCAGCAACCUGCGGCCGUGGAGACCUGCAACGCACAGCCCUGCCCCACGAGAGAGACAUCGGACAUCUGCCCGUCAGCCUGUGGAGCAGAACUGGCCGUGCAGAAUGUGACGUGUGUGCAGGGGGCAGAGGGCAUGGGGGCGCUGGCCACUGCUGGGCCCUGCCCCACAGACCAGAAGCCAUCUGCCCUAGAGCCGUGUAUCGAGGUGACAUGUCCUCCAGGCUGGGGCCAUGUGAGUGUCCUGGGCACCAGAGGGCUGGGGCUUGUGGGUCCUUUUCUGGCCAGGAGAACGGGGAGCCCUGGUUCCCACUGGCCUCCUGGCCGGAGCCGGAAGACUGCCCAUCUGCAGGGCUGCGGUCCUUGGGGUUCCUUCGGUCAGAGGAUGAACUUAGAGUCAGGGCUUCUAGGAAGGCUCCUUCCCGCUGGCUCGCAGGCCCAGGACUCCAGACCCUGGUAGCUGCUGUCGGUUCUCUGCUACGUGGAGAAACGCGGCCACGCUCCUGCCGGCGUCCAUGGGCUCAGGCUGGGUGGGCUUGCUUCAGACAAGGGUGCUGGCCAACCGGGGCCCUCGGGAGCUGGUGGGGCUUUCAGGGCCAAGCAUGCCUGCAAACCUGGCUCCUGAACCCCCCGCUCAGUCACCCCUGCCACACGGUGACUGCUCACGCAGAUGCAGAGGCCGAGGCAGGGUGUGCGGCGAGGGCAUCCACUGGGGGCCAGAAAGCAAGGCUCCCGGGAAAGGGGCAGCGGGGCCGGGCAGCCUCUGGAGAGCUGGUGACACUGAUACUCUCUUUUGCACAGACUGGGGUGGGAGGGGGUGGAGAGCCAGGUGCCCAGGGGGCUGGAGGCAGGAAGCCCAGACCCACCAGCUUGUUUGUGGCCCCGCAGCUGGAGGCCCAGUCUCCAGGCGAAGAGGCUGUGUCCCCAGCGGGCAGCGCCAGGCUGGAGGUUCAGGCCGCACACGUGUGGACUCCUCUGACGGGGCCGUGCUCCGUCUCCUGUGGUCAAGGUGAGGCCCCCCCGCUCUCCUAAGCACCCACUAACUCUAAAAACCAUAUGAGGCGGCUUCCGGAAUAUCCAGCUGCAUCAGAACAUGCCUUUAAAUGCAAGGAGCUUGGGGCCAAGUAUGGACAAGCCAAAUGAAUGUGCUCAUUGAUUGGCUGGAAGAUAGGAAUUGUCAUAAAAGUGGCCAAAUUGGCACCUAAGAGCACGUUCUUAAGGUCUAAGAUGGGCCCCAAACUUAGCUCUGAGCUUCCUGGCGGCCAGACCAGAGAAACAAAGUUAGUGUUAAGAUACACAGUGUUCUUGGGAGUUCCCAUUGUGUCUCAGCGGUAACAAACCUGACUAGUAUCUGUGAAGGAUGCAGGUUCAAUCCCGGGCCUCGCUCAGUGGGUUAAGGAGCUGGUGUUGCCAUGAGCUGCGGUGUAGGUUGCAGAUGCGGCUUGGAUCUGGCAUUGCUGUGGCUGUGGCUGUGGCCAGCAGCUGGAGCUCCAAUUUGACCCCUAGCCUGGGAUCUUCUGUAUGUUACAGGUGUGGCCCUAAAAAGACAAAAAAAAAAAAAAAAAAAAAA
rnacentral:lncRNA from 1 species